rnacentral:rRNA from 1 species
ACGAACGCUGGCGGCAUGCCUAACACAUGCAAGUCGAACGAGACCUUCGGGUCUAGUGGCGCACGGGUGCGUAACGCAUGGGAACCUGCCCUUAGGUUCGGGAUAACUCCCCGAAAGGGGUGCUAAUACCGGAUAAUGUCUUCGGACCAAAGAUUUAUCGCCUUUGGAUGGGCCCGCGUUGGAUUAGCUAGUUGGUAGGGUAAAAGCCUACCAAGGCGACGAUCCAUAGCUGGUCUGAGAGGAUGAUCAGCCACACUGGGACUGAGACACGGCCCAGACUCCUACGGGAGGCAGCAGUGGGGAAUAUUGGACAAUGGGCGAAAGCCUGAUCCAGCAAUGCCGCGUGAGUGAUGAAGGCCUUAGGGUUGUAAAGCUCUUUUACCCGGGAUGAUAAUGACAGUACCGGGAGAAUAAGCUCCGGCUAACUCCGUG